rnacentral:rRNA from 1 species
AGUGAACGCUGGCGGUAGGCCUAACACAUGCAAGUCGAACGGCAGCACAGUAAGAGCUUGCUCUUACGGGUGGCGAGUGGCGGACGGGUGAGGAAUACAUCGGAAUCUACUUUUUCGUGGGGGAUAACGUAGGGAAACUUACGCUAAUACCGCAUACGACCUACGGGUGAAAGCAGGGGAUCUUCGGACCUUGCGCGAUUGAAUGAGCCGAUGUCGGAUUAGCUAGUUGGCGGGGUAAAGGCCCACCAAGGCGACGAUCCGUAGCUGGUCUGAGAGGAUGAUCAGCCACACUGGAACUGAGACACGGUCCAGACUCCUACGGGAGGCAGCAGUGGGGAAUAUUGGACAAUGGGCGCAAGCCUGAUCCAGCCAUACCGCGUGGGUGAAGAAGGCCUUCGGGUUGUAAAGCCCUUUUGUUGGGAAAGAAAAGCAGCAGGUUAAUACCCCGCUGUUCGGACGGUACCCAAAGAAUAAGCACCGGCUAACUGCAG